UAUUCAUGAGCUAAGUACCUGCAAAAGGAAAGAUGUUAGUGAAAGAAAGAUAUGGAGAGCACAAAGAUAAACAUAAACUAUAAAUGUAUAGGGAUUAAAUCUUGAUUCUAUAUGCUAUAGCAACUGCAGACUAGCAUGAGGAUGAAAGCACAACUGUCUUUAAUAGAUUAAAAAAGAAUAUUACCCAAAAGUUCCCAUUACUCGUGUGGAGACAUGAGUAUCAGUGUCA
rnacentral:lncRNA from 1 species